rnacentral:lncRNA from 1 species
CGUCGCUUUCUAGUGUCUGUGGUGUCGGCGCUGCAGGAUGACGCGAGCCUCUCGCGUCCCUGGUUUUCUCGGUCGCAGCGUUGAGUUAUUGGGUGGAAAGGCAUCACCUUAGAGUCAACCUUCUUUGAAACCACUGUCUCAGAGAAAUCCCUCCAAGACACAGGUAAUUAGAGAGGGUAUGUGAACCAAGGAGCCAAUCAAAUUCUCCCACAUAAGAAUUUGGGACACAGAAGAUGAAGCUGAGGACCACAAGGAUUUAGAUACUGAUGCUAUCUUUCAGCCAAGUUGCUUAAGAACAACAGUUGACUAGAACUGCACGUCUUCCUUCAAACACUGUCUACUGCAGAAUGCAAACAGGAACCUCUGGGAAUAUCU